CCCUUAGAUGUUCUGGGCCGCACGCGUGCUACACUGAGUGGAUCAGCGGGUCAGGUUGCGCGAAAGCGUUUCCUAAUCUUUAAAUCCGCUCGUGAUGGAGAUUGACGGUUGCAAUUUUCUGUCAUGAACGAGGAAUACCUUGUAAGCGCGGGUCAUCAUCCCGCGCUGAAUACGUCCCUGCCCUUUGUACACACCGCCCGUCGCUACUACCGAUUGAAUGGUUUAGUGAGAUCCUUGGAUCGGCCCUGUCGCGGCUGGCAACGGCCGCGUCGGCGCGUCGAGAAGACGAUCAAACUUGAUCAUUUAGAGGAAGUAAAAGUCGUAACA
rnacentral:rRNA from 1 species